rnacentral:lncRNA from 1 species
CACACUAAAAUACACAUACACCCAAAAGUCUAAUCUAAGUUCAAGAGUUCAAGUUCGAAGUUCAGUGCUUUCAAAAUCCAUCUCUUUGCUUGAAUCAAGAUAAGAUUAUAUGUAAAUCUUCACCCAUGUGGGUUCGCAUAAGUUUUGAGGACGACCCAAUUUGUGGAUUCUCUUUUGCUUGCUAAACUAAGGUACGGAUUCCCAUUUCUGACAUCAUAGUAUUUUUAUCCUAUCCGUCACUUUGCAGUGCGGAUUUUUGUGUGUCCCUGUUAGCCGUUUGAUAUGUGAUGCGAACCAGUCUGGUAUUGUUUGUAUGAUUAUUAGAGUAAUGUAGCAUGCCAUACCUUAGACUUGUACUCAUGGUCGCAUGUUCCUAUUAGUAUUAUUUUCAGUUGAUUGUAAACUAUUUACAUGGCCUUAGUUUUUGUACUCUGUCACCCGAGCGUCUGGCUUGCCGUUUGGGCGUCAACGGCAUGGCACUUAUCGUGACAGUGCGUAAUAAAAGUUCACGGCGUCUCUAGUUUGUGCUCGU